UACGGGGGGGGCAAGCGUUGUCCGGAUUUAUUGGGCGUAAAGAGCGUGUAGGCGGCCUGACAGGUCUGCUGUGAAAACUCGAGGCUCAACCUCGAGAUGUCGGCGGAAACCGUCUGGCUAGAGUCCGGAAGAGGAGAGUGGAAUUCCUGGUGUAGCGGUGAAAUUCGUAGAUAUUGGGAGGAACACCAGUGGCGAAGGCGGCUCACUGGACCGGAACUGACGCUGAGGCGCGAAAGCGUGGGGAGCAAACGGG
rnacentral:rRNA from 1 species